UACGAAGGGGGCUAGCGUUGUUCGGAAUUACUGGGCGUAAAGCGCGCGCAGGCGGUCCUUUAAGUCAGGGGUGAAAGCCCAGAGCUCAACUCUGGAACUGCCUUUGAAACUAGAGGACUUGGGUACGGGAGAGGUGAGUGGAAUUCCGAGUGUAGAGGUGAAAUUCGUAGAUAUUCGGAAGAACACCAGUGGCGAAGGCGGCUCACUGGUCCAUUACUGACGCUGAGGUGCGAAAGCGUGGGGAGCAAACAGG
rnacentral:rRNA from 1 species